rnacentral:rRNA from 1 species
AGGCUGCAACUCGCCUGCAUGAAGUCGGAAUUGCUAGUAAUCGUAGGUCAGCAUACUACGGUGAAUACGUUCCCGGGCCUUGUACACACCGCCCGUCAAACCAUGAGAGUUGGCAACACCCGAAGUCGGUAGUCUAACCGCAAGGAGGACGCCGCCGAAGGUGGGGUUGAUGAUUAGGGUUAAGUCGUAACAAGGUAUC